GCGUCGUUGGUGUAAUGGUAGCAUACUUGGUUCCAACCCAAACGGUCAGGGUUCGAGUCCUUGGCGGCGCGCCA
rnacentral:tRNA from 1 species